rnacentral:lncRNA from 1 species
AUGGAUACAGACCGCCCCGCAGUGUGUGUGUGUGUGUGUACCUGCAGAGUGUUCUGUGUCCGCCUCCUGGGAGCGGCGGAUGGAUACAGACCGCCCCGCAGUGUGUGUGUGUGUGUGUGUGUGUGUGUGUGUGUGUACCUGCAGAGUGUUGUGUCCGCCUCCUGGGAGCGGCGGAUGGAUACAGACCGCCCCGCAGUGUGUGUGUGUGUGUGUGUGUGUGUGUGUGUGUGUACCUGCAGAGUGUUGUGUCCGCCUCCUGGGAGCGGCGGAUGGAUACAGACCGCCCUGCAGUGUGUGUGUGUGUGUGUGUGUGUGUGUGUGUGUGUGUGUGUACCUGCAGAGUGUUCUGUGUCCGCCUCCUGGGAGCGGCGGAUGGAUACAGACCGCCCCGCAGUGUGUGUGUGUGUGUGUGUGUGUGUGUGUACCUGCAGAGUGUUCUGUGUCCGCCUCCUGGGAGCGGCGGAUGGAUACAGACCGCCCCGCAGUGUGUGUGUGUGUGUGUGUGUGUGUGUGUAUGUGUGUGUGUGUACCUGCAGAGUGUUCUGUGUCCGCCUCCUGGGAGCGGCGGAUGGAUACAGACCGCUCCGCAGUGUGUGUGUGUGUAUGUACCUGCAGAGUGUUCUGUGUCCGCCUCCUCCCUUCCCCCAUCACGCUGGCCAUCCUUCUUGGGCGCGGGUGGCUGGGGGGCUGCUUUCACCUUCAGGGGCCGUGGGCUGGAGGAAAGUGGGAAGGGGCGCCCGUGGAGGCCGAGCCCUGCCCUCUUCUAAGGGAAGGCAGCCCCUGAUAGACCUCUGGCUGAGGAGACAAACCACUUGUCUGCGCCAGUGUCGUCAUUCUUUCUGCCACACUGCUGUUCUCUCAGUUGCUGUGGUGGCACACUUUACCAUUUCACUGUCCCCACAGUUGCCCAGGAAAGAGGACCUUUCCCUGACAGGACCCGCACCUGCUCAGACAAUCCUGUUUCUCACCCCCCAGCAAGGGGUCAGGCACCAUGUAGGGACAGUCCUGGCUCUUCCUGGCUUCUGUCUGUCAGGUCAUCUCUUGCAGGGGAUUCCAAGGGCUCAUCAUUUUGGCAGGGUAGGAAUAUGCCAAGGAUUAGAACCAACUGGGAUCUCACACGCUUGCCAUACACACCAGUCUACUUCCCCCAGCCAUUCUUUGGAGAAGGCCCCACCAAACACUUAA